UACGUAGGUGGCAAGCGUUGUCCGGAUUUACUGGGCGUAAAGGGCGUGCAGGCGGUUUUUUAAGUUCAGGGUGAAAGCUCCCGGCUCAACUGGGAGAGGUCCUUGGAUACUGGCAGACUUGAGGAGGGUAGAGGAGAGUGGAAUUCCCGGUGUAGUGGUGAUAUGCGUAGAUAUCGGGAGGAACACCAGUGGCGAAGGCGGCUCUCUGGGCCCUACCUGACGCUGAGACGCGAAAGCGUGGGGAGCGAACAGG
rnacentral:rRNA from 1 species